rnacentral:rRNA from 1 species
AUCUAGGCUCUUGCAUCGAUGAAGAACGUAGCGAAAUGCGAUACUUGGUGUGAAUUGCAGAAUCCCGUGAACCAUCGAGUCUUUGAACGCAAGUUGCGCCUGAUGCCAUUAGGUUGAGGGCACGUCUGCCUGGGUGUCACAUGUCGAAGCCUCCU